AUUGAACGCUGGCGGCAUGCCUUACACAUGCAAGUCGAACGGUAACAGGUCUUCGGAUGCUGACGAGUGGCGAACGGGUGAGUAAUACAUCGGAACAUGCCCGAUCGUGGGGGAUAACGAAGCGAAAGCUUUGCUAAUACCGCAUAAGAUCUACGGAUGAAAGCAGGGGACCGCAAGGCCUUGCGCGAAAGGAGCGGCCGAUGGCAGAUUAGGUAGUUGGUGGGAUAAAAGCUUACCAAGCCGACGAUCUGUAGCUGGUCUGAGAGGACGACCAGCCACACUGGGACUGAGACACGGCCCAGACUCCUACGGGAGGCAGCAGUGGGGAAUUUUGGACAAUGGGCGAAAGCCUGAUCCAGCCAUGCCGCGUGCAGGAUGAAGGCCUUCGGGUUGUAAACUGCUUUUGUACGGAACGAAAAGACUCUGGUUAAUACCUGGGGUCCAUGACGGUACCGUAAGAAUAAGCACCGGCUAACUACGUGCCAGCAGCCGCCGUAAUAC
rnacentral:rRNA from 1 species